rnacentral:misc_RNA from 1 species
GCUGAACUUCUGGUUGUCGGAGUGCUAAGAAAGUCCAUUUUGAAGUCAUGGUGGGAUCAGAAUAUUCACAAUUUGGUGGUGAUGGUUGUGGUGCUUAACACGAUAAUCUCAGGACCUGCAGUGGCUUAUAUGUUAAGAAAAAAUGGAAAAUACUUUGCUCAGAAGCAUACCUCGCUUGAAUUUCUUGAACCAGAGAGUGAACUUCGUAUGCUGGCCUGUGUCUAUGGCUCUCGCCAUAUAACAGGAAAGGUUGGGUUAAUCUUUGCUUUGAGUGGAUCCCCAGAAAGUCCCACCACUGCUUACUUGACGCACCUUGUAGAGCUCCCCAAGAAACGCCGG